rfam:Purpureocillium lilacinum isolate PLFJ-1 scaffold00015, whole genome shotgun sequence.
ACAUACGACCAUAGCCAUAAGAGAAUUCGGGAUCCCGUCCGCUCUCCCAUAGACAAGCUUAUGAGCGGCAGAUUAGUAGUUGGGUCGGUGACGACCAGCGAACACCGGCUGUUGUAUGUU